UACGUAGGGCGCAAGCGUUGUCCGGAAUUAUUGGGCGUAAAGAGCUCGUAGGCGGUCUGUCGCGUCGGCUGUGAAAACCCGAGGCUCAACCUCGGGCCUGCAGUCGAUACGGGCAAACUAGAGUAUUGCAGGGGAGACUGGAAUUCCUGGUGUAGCGGUGAAAUGCGCAGAUAUCAGGAGGAACACCGGUGGCGAAGGCGGGUCUCUGGGCAAUAACUGACGCUGAGGAGCGAAAGCGUGGGGAGCGAACAGG
rnacentral:rRNA from 1 species